rnacentral:misc_RNA from 1 species
GCUUGAGGGAAAUUAUUUUUUCCAGAUCACGGUGAUAUCUGAGCCAGUUUACAUGCACCAUGGCCAUUUACAAUACAAAGUGUCAGCAUGCAAACACUUAGAAGAGACACCUUGCAUAUAAUUUCUGUGCAUUCCUUAGUUAUCCAGUAUGCUUGCACUAGUUACACGGAGCACCUACUAUCACCAACCAGCAUAGGUACGAGGCAGUUCUGCUCACCAAGGCUUGGACAUGUGAAAAAUGAAACCAUCUAUCAGAUCUAGGACCUCAUGGUUCUCAGUUCACUUCAUCGACCACUGGCCACUUCCUUGGGUGCAAAAGUGAGCUGUAAAAUAAGCCACAGAUGUCGGAUAUGGUACAUCAUGAAAUGAAAUGUCAUGCUCUUCCAAAUUCAGUGAUGGCCAAAUACAUAAGCAGAUCCCUAAACUUGUUGGAUUUUUU